rnacentral:rRNA from 1 species
GACGAACGCUGGCGGCGUGCUUAACACAUGCAAGUCGAACGGAAAGGCCCUGCUUUUGUGGGGUGCUCGAGUGGCGAACGGGUGAGUAACACGUGAGUAACCUGCCCUGGACUUUGGGAUAACUUCAGGAAACUGGGGCUAAUACCGGAUAGGAGCUCCUGCUGCAUGGUGGGGGUUGGAAAGUUUGGGCGGUUGGGGAUGGACGCGCGGCUUAUCAGCUUGUUGGUGGGGUAGUGGCUUACCAAGGCUUUGACGGGUAGCCGGCCUGAGAGGGUGACCGGCCACAUUGGGACUGAGAUACGGCCCAGACUCCUACGGGAGGCAGCAGUGGGGAAUAUUGCACAGUGGGCGGAAGCCUGAUGCAGCAACGCCGCGUGCGGGAUGACGGCCUUCGGGCUGUAAACCGCUUUCGCCUGUGACGAAGCGUGAGUGACGGUAAUGGGUAAAGAAGCACCGGCUAACUACGUG